rnacentral:rRNA from 1 species
AGCAGCCGCGGUAACUCCAGCUCCAAUAGCGUAUAUUAAAGUUGUUGCAGUUAAAAAGCUCGUAGUUGAAUUUCGGGAUCUGUCCAUUGGUCGGGCUUCACGGUCCGUACUGGUGUGAUGGGUUCCUACCUUCUGAAUAACCAGCAUGCCAUUCAUUUGGUGCGUUGGUGAAGCAGAGCUAUUACCUUGAAAAAUUAGAGUGCUUAAAGCAAGCUAGUGCUUGAAUAGAUUAGCAUGGAAUAAUAAAAUAGGACGGCUUGGUUCUAUUUUGUUGGUUUCUAGGAUCACCGUAAUGAUUAAUAGGGAUAGUUGGGGGCAUUAGUAUUCAAUUGUCAGAGGUGAAAUUCUUGGAUUUAUUGAAGACUAACUUCUGCGAAAGCAUUUGCCAAGGAUGUUUUCAUUAAUCAAGAACGAAAGUUAGGGGAUCGAAGACGAUCAGAUACCGUCGUAGUCUUAACCAUAAACUAUGCCGACUAGGGAUCGGACGAUGUUAAUUUUUAAUGUACUCGUUCGGUACG